GAUGAACGCUGGCGGCGUGCCUAAUACAUGCAAGUCGAGCGAACAGACGAGGAGCUUGCUCCUCUGACGUUAGCGGCGGACGGGUGAGUAACACGUGGAUAACCUGCCUAUAAGACUGGGAUAACUUCGGGAAACCGGAGCUAAUACCGGAUAAUAUAUUGAACCGCAUGGUUCAAUAGUGAAAGACGGUUUUGCUGUCACUUAUAGAUGGAUCCGCGCCGCAUUAGCUAGUUGGUAAGGUAACGGCUUACCAAGGCAACGAUGCGUAGCCGACCUGAGAGGGUGAUCGGCCACACUGGAACUGAGACACGGUCCAGACUCCUACGGGAGGCAGCAGUAGGGAAUCUUCCGCAAUGGGCGAAAGCCUGACGGAGCAACGCCGCGUGAGUGAUGAAGGUCUUCGGAUCGUAAAACCCUGUUAUUAGGGAAGAACAAAUGUGUAAGUAACUAUGCACGUCUUGACGGUACCUAAUCAGAAAGCCACGGCUAACUACGUG
rnacentral:rRNA from 1 species